GACGAACGCUGGCGGCGUGCCUAAUACAUGCAAGUCGAGCGGAAGUUGGAGAGCUUGCUCUUCAACUUUAGCGGCGGACGGGUGAGUAACACGUGGGCAACCUGCCCUGCAGAUCGGGAUAACUCCGGGAAACCGGUGCUAAUACCGCAUAGUUUUCGCCACCUCCUGGUGGCGUACGGAAAGACGGUUUCGGCUGUCACUGCAGGAUGGGCCCGCGGCGCAUUAGCUAGUUGGUGGGGUAACGGCCCACCAAGGCAACGAUGCGUAACCGACCUGAGAGGGGGAUCGGCCACACGGGGACGAAGACACGGCCCAGACUCCUACGGGAGGCAGCAGUAGGGAAUCUUCCGCAAUGGACGAAAGUCUGACGGAGCAACGCCGCGUGAGUGACGAAGGUUUUCGGAUCGUAAAACUCUGUUGUGAGGGAAGAACAAGUACCAACUAACUACUGGUACCUUGACGGUACCUCACCAGAAAGCCACGGCUAACUACGUGCCAGCAGCCGCGGUAA
rnacentral:rRNA from 1 species